UACGUAGGGUGCAAGCGUUGUCCGGAAUUAUUGGGCGUAAAGAGCUCGUAGGCGGUCUGUCGCGUCGGCUGUGAAAACCCGGAGCUCAACUCCGGGCCUGCAGUCGAUACGGGCAGACUGGAGUUCGGCAGGGGAGACUGGAAUUCCUGGUGUAGCGGUGAAAUGCGCAGAUAUCAGGAGGAACACCGAUUGCGAAGGCAGCUCGCUGGAACGUUACUGACGCUGAGACGCGAAAGCGUGGGGAGCAAACAGG
rnacentral:rRNA from 1 species